AAAAGGAUUUAAUAUGAUCCUCCUAAAUCUUCCUAAUGCCUAAAAAUUUCCUAGCUUCAAUCAUAUUACAAAAAGGCAUAAAACAAAAUUAGAGAUAAAGGAGAAGAGGAAAAGAAAGCAACGAACCAAAAAAAGCACCCUCUUAUUCAAAAAUGGGGUCCAUACAAAUAUUGUCUGAUCUUCCUUCUCUCAUAUCUUAGGAUGUGACCUCCAUCAUCUUCUUCCCCACUUAAUUCAUUACCCUCAUUCACCAUUUUUUGUCUCCUCCCCCCUUUCCUUUAUUUCAAACAAAAAAGCUUAAGAAUUCCUAUUUUUACUCUACCUUAUAAGCUUACUUAAUAGACCUAUUUUCAUUUUCCACCUCCAUGGAAACUAUCACAAAAUUCGCUACUGAGCCACCACCUCUCCCUCCUGUUAUAUGUCCAGACAACCAUAUCCACCACCAAGCCGCGGCCCAACCAUCCACCCCUACGCUUAGUCGGUACGAGUCCCAAAAGCGUAGGGACUGGAAUACCUUUGGACAAUACCUUAGAAACAUGAGGCCACCCAUUUCUGUAACUCAGUGUACAUGUCACCACGUACUAGAGUUCCUUAGGUAUCUUGAUCAAUUUGGAAAAACUAAGGUGCACUUACAUGGGUGCACCUUCUUUGGGAUGCCUGACCCACCGGCUCCAUGUAGCUGCCCGCUUCGACAAGCGUGGGGCAGCCUUGAUGCACUCAUCGGACGGCUUAGAGCCGCCUACGAGGAGCACGGUGGGUCACCCGAAUCGAACCCGUUCGGAAACGGGACUAUUAGGGUCUAUUUAAGGGAAGUUAAGGAUUGUCAAGCUAAAGCAAGAGGAAUUCCUUACAAAAAGAAAAAGAAGAAGAAGAGGGUUUUAAAGACUAUUACUACUACUACUUGUGAUGGAUCUUCAUCUAAUCGUCGCUUUUAAGAUAUCUGCUGCCUAGCUUGCUACAUUAUCUUUCUAGAAUGGAAAAGCACGGCAAUGAAAUCUUGUUCUAGAAAAUGAGGUAAGUUAGAAAAUAGAAGAUUACGCGAAAUGAUAUAUGGGCAUGACCAAGUUCAGAGUUUCCUGGACAAAAAAUGUAUCAUAGUAAUAUUUGUAAUACUAAUAGUAUACUUUGCAAACUUUUUAAAAGUAACAACUUUAUGUCGGUGCCCAAUCAUAUUACUUGUAUGCAAGAUUAUUCCAUCGAGAGGAUGAUAAUGACACUUGAGACA